GGGUUUUCACCCCAAAUAGUCCGGUACUUGGUGUGAUAGGCAUUCUCCACUGAACCAGCUAGCAAGCACACCUCCGCAAUGAAGAACAACACCCUGAAACGUAUUAAUUGAUGAUUUAAGUAUGUGUAUGAGGUGAACAUCUUGAAUUAUCCUUUCACAAUAUGCGAUAUUGAACUUUACCAAUUCGAUCAAAGAUCAAUAUAUCAGAUUAUAGUUGUAUGCCUCAAAAUCGGAACAUAACAUACCAGCAGGUAAUGAAAAGAAGAACUGCCCAAGCCCUUGAACCUCCAGGCCUCAAAGCCUUCCCGCAGCAGAAACAUCGACUUGCUACCAUUAUAACAACUUGACUGGCCAUGAGGACGAAGAAUGCACCAACUCCAUACCCCGUCGAAAUAUCUGAGUCGUAGACACA